rnacentral:rRNA from 1 species
CUGGCUCAGAAUGAACGCUGGCGGCAUGGAUUAGGCAUGCAAGUCGAACGAGAAAGCCCCUUCGGGGGCGAGUAAAGUGGCGAAAGGGUGAGUAACACGUGAGGAACCUGCCCUCCAGUCCGGAACAAUCCUGUGAAAACGGGCCCGAAACCGGAUGCCGGCCCCCACUGCAUGGUGGGUGGCCGAAACAUUUAUGGCUGGAGAAUGGCCUCGCGUCCCAUUAGCUAGUUGGCGGGGUAACGGCCCACCAAGGCUGCGACGGGUAGGUGGUCUGAGAGGAUGGUCACCCACACUGGGACUGAGACACUGCCCAGACUCCUACGGGAGGCUGCAGUCGAGAAUCUUCCGCAAUGGGCGCAAGCCUGACGGAAGCGAUGCCGCGUGAGGGAAGUAGGCCUUCGGGUUGUGAACCUCUGUCGACGGGGACGAACGCAAUGACGGUACCCGUCAAGAGAGCCACGGCUAACCACGUGCCAGCAGCAGC